GCGUUGUCCGGAUUCAUUGGGCGUAAAGAGCGUGUAGGCGGCCAGGUAGGUCGGUUGUGAAAACUGGAGGCUCAACCUUCAGAGGUCGACCGAAACCAUCUGGCUAGAGUCCGGGAGAGGAGAGUGGAAUUCCUGGUGUAGCGGUGAAAUGCGCAGAUAUCAGGAAGAACACCCGUGGCGAAAGCGGCUCUCUGGAACGGUACUGACGCUGAGACGCGAAAGCGUGGGGAGCGAACAGG
rnacentral:rRNA from 1 species